UCUAGAGGCUUCGUCAAUGGGGGCAACCCUGAACGAGCGACGCCGCGUGUGGGAUUGAAGGCCUUCGGGUCGUAAACCACUGUCGAGUGGGAAGAAUGCCUCUAUGGCGAAUAGAGGAGCGACGGUACCACUAUAGGAAGCCCCGGCUAACUCCGUGCCAGCAGCCGCGGUAAUACGGAGGGGGCAAGCGUUGUUCGGAUUUACUGGGCGUAAAGGGUGUGUAGGCGGCUGGAUAAGUCUGGCGUGAAAUCUUCACCGCUUAACGGGAAGGGGUCGCUGGAAACUGUUCAGCUUGAGUAUGGUAGAGGCAAGCGGAAUUCCUGGUGUAGCGGUGGAAUGUGUAGAUAUCAGGAAGAACACCGGUGGCGAAGGCGGCUUGCUGGGCCAUCACUGACGCUGAGACACGAAAGCGUGGGGAGCAAACGGGAUUAGAUACCCGCGUAGUCC
rnacentral:rRNA from 1 species